UACGGGGGGUGCGAGCGUUGUCCGGAAUCACUGGGCGUAAAGGGCGCGUAGGUGGCGUGAUAAGGGUGUGGUGAAAGCCCGGGGCUCAACCCCGGGUCUGCCAUGCCGACUGUCAGGCUAGAGUACUGUAGGGGCAGGCGGAAUUCAUGGUGUAGCAGUGAAAUGCGUAGAGAUCAUGAGGAAGACCAGUGGCGAAGGCGGCCUGGCUGGGCAGUGGCUGACACUGAGGCGCGGACAAGCGUGGGGAGCAAACAGG
rnacentral:rRNA from 1 species